GCUCUCCCCUUAUUAGAAUAUAUGCUAACUUGGAAUGUUCAGUAAAGAUUAGCAUGGCGCCUGCAGAAGGAUGACAUGAAAAUUCUUGAAAUGAUCCAUAUUCUU